rnacentral:rRNA from 1 species
ACGAACGCUGGCGGCGCGCCUAACACAUGCAAGUCGAACGGAGCUUAGAGAGCUUGCUUUUUAAGCUUAGUGGCGAACGGGUGAGUAACGCGUGAGUAACCUGCCCUAGAGUGGGGGACAACAGUUGGAAACGACUGCUAAUACCGCAUAAGCCCACGGUACCGCAUGGUACUGAGGGAAAAGGAUUUAUUCGCUUUAGGAUGGACUCGCGUCCAAUUAGCUAGUUGGUGAGGUAACGGCCCACCAAGGCGACGAUUGGUAGCCGGACUGAGAGGUUGAACGGCCACAUUGGGACUGAGACACGGCCCAGACUCCUACGGGAGGCAGCAGUGGGGGAUAUUGCACAAUGGGGGAAACCCUGAUGCAGCGACGCCGCGUGGAGGAAGAAGGUUUUCGGAUUGUAAACUCCUGUCGUUAGGGACGAUAAUGACGGUACCUAACAAGAAAGCACCGGCUAACUACGUGCCAGCAGCCGCGGUAAAACGUAGGGUGCAAGCGUUGUCCGGAAUUACUGGGUGUAAAGGGAGCGCAGGCGGGAAGACAAGUUGGAAGUGAAAACCAUGGGCUCAACCCAUGAAUUGCUUUCAAAACUGUUUUUCUUGAGUAGUGCAGAGGUAGAUGGAAUUCCCGGUGUAGCGGUGGAAUGCGUAGAUAUCGGGAGGAACACCAGUGGCGAAGGCGGUCUACUGGGCACCAACUGACGCUGAGGCUCGAAAGCAUGGGUAGCAAACAGGAUUAGAUACCCUGGUAGUCCAUGCCGUAAACGAUGAUUACUAGGUGUUGGGGGAUUGAACCCCUCAGUGCCGCAGUUAACACAAAAAGUAAUCCACCUGGGGAGUACGACCGCAAGGUUGAAACUCAAAGGAAUUGACGGGGGCCCGCACAAGCAGUGGAGUAUGUGGUUUAAUUCGAAGCAACGCGAAGAACCUUACCAGGGCUUGACAUAUACAGGAAUACUUAAGAAAUUAGGUAGUCUUUCGAGACUUGUAUACAGGUGGUGCAUGGUUGUCGUCAGCUCGUGUCGUGAGAUGUUGGGUUAAGUCCCGCAACGAGCGCAACCCUUAUCCUCAGUAGCCAGCAGGUAAAGCUGGGCACUCUGUGGAGACUGCCAGGGAUAACCUGGAGGAAGGUGGGGAUGACGUCAAAUCAUCAUGCCCCUUAUGAUCUGGGCUACACACGUGCUACAAUGGCGUAAACAGAGGGAAGCGAAGGAGUGAUCCGGAGCAAAUCUCAAAAAUAACGUCUCAGUUCGGAUUGUAGUCUGCAACUCGACUACAUGAAGCUGGAAUCGCUAGUAAUCGCAGAUCAGAAUGCUGCGGUGAAUACGUUCCCGGGCCUUGUACACACCGCCCGUCACACCAUGAGAGUUGGAGAUACCCGAAGCCUGUGAGCUAACUUUUAGAGGCAGCAGUCGAAGGUAGAGCCAAUGAUUGGGGUG